AGGACCCAGGGUACACAGGGUGGGUGGCUAUUCUCCAGAAAUGUCAGUUUCUGGGCAGGGCUUAGGUGUCUGCAGUCCCUAGUCCCACCCCUGGCCUUGCAUUCCAGCUCAGCGGGUGGAAGGUAUAAAUUUCAGCUGCUCUCAGCCCUGCUGUGUUUUUCCAAAGCCUUCCAACAGCAACAUGAAGUUGGCAGCCUUCCUCCUCCUUGUGAUCCUCAUCAUCUUCAGCCUAGAGGUACAAGAGCUUCAGGCUGCAGGAGACCGGCUUUUGGGUACCUGCGUCGAGCUCUGCACAGGUGACUGGGACUGCAACCCGGGAGACCACUGUGUCAGCAAUGGGUGUGGCCAUGAGUGUGUUGCAGGGUAAGGACAGAUGAAGAGUUAUCUUAAGGAUCAUCUUUCUCUAAGAUCGUCAUCCCUUCCUGGAGUUCCUAUCUUCCAAGAUGUGACUGUCUGGAGUUCCUUGACUAGGAAGAUGGAUGAAAACAGCGAGCCUGUGGAUGGAGACUACAGGGGAUAUGGGAGGCAGGGAAGAGGGGUUGUUUCUUUUAAUAAAUCAUCAUUGUUA
rnacentral:lncRNA from 1 species